GCCGCCAUCUGAAGACAGGGGAGAUAGCCAUAAUUACCUUAUGGUAAUUAUGCAGGUGCGGAAUCUUCCAAGCGCACGGCAGCCUUGUCCAUCCAAGUUGAGCACUGGGCGCCGUUCGAGUAGAGCACCACGCCUCGUCCAAGUUCCCAUCUAAUGUUGAAUAAUAUACCGCUGAGUGCUAUUGACGGAAUUGAGGCUUCGCCAAGGAACAAGACUGGUAACUAGCGCAAAGGAGACUAUGUCGAGAGGUGGCACUGCUAGACUUGCUGAUGUGUAGUUAUGGCAUAAAAAAGAUGAAAAAAUGGUAUCUUCUAUGAUUCCAUAAGGUGCACGUAGCAAAUCUUCCCAUGUGGAUCAGUACAACUUAUGUAUGGCCUUUAGUUCACAAAUCUUAUAGUAAUCUUUGUAGUACUCUUCAUAACACUUUGUUCCAUGUGGAUCAGUACAACUUACAAGGCUAGUUUCCUAAGAGAUGUACUCUUUGUGAAUUUCUUUGUAUUUUCGUAAGCUG
rnacentral:rRNA from 1 species